rnacentral:tRNA from 1 species
GCUUUCUGUGGCUUAGUUGGUUAAAGCGCCUGUCUAGUAAACAAGAUUCUGGGUUCGAAUCCCAGCAGGAACU